rnacentral:rRNA from 1 species
CAACCCAACGGUAGCAUGCACAAAUGCCUACGAAUCUCCCCUUUCAUUGGGAAUAACAGAUUGGAAACGACUGCUACUACCGCAUACGCCCUACGGGGGAAAGGAGGGGACCUUCGGGCCUUCCGCGAUUGGAUGAACCUAGGUGGGAUUAGCUAGUUGGUGAGGUAAUGGCUCACCAAGGCGACGAUCCCUACCUGUUCUGAGAGGAUGAUCAGCCACACUGGGACUGAGACACGGCCCACACUCCUACGGGAGGCAGCAGGGGGGAAUAUUGCACAAUGGGGGAAACCCUGAUGCAACCAUGCCGCGUGUGUGAAGAAGGCCUUCGGGGUUGUAAAGCACUUUCAGUAGGGAGGAAAGGGUAAGGUUUAAUACGCCUUAUCUGUGACGUUACCUACAGAAGAAGGACCGGCUAACUCCGUGCCAGCGAGCCGCGGUAAUACGGAGGGUCCGAGCGUUAAUCGGAAUUACUGGGCGUAAACCGUGCGCGGCGGGUUGUUCCACCAGAAGUGAAAGACCUGGGCUCAACCUCGGAACCACAUUUCGAACUGGCAAACUAAAGUCUUGUAGAGGGGGGUAGAAUUUCCAGGGCUACGGUGAAUGCUUAAAAUUUUUGGAAUAAUACCGG